CAUGCAAGUCGAGCGGUAACAGAUCCAGCUUGCUGGAUGCUGACGAGCGGCGGACGGGUGAGUAAUGCAUAGGAAUCUGCCCGAUAGUGGGGGAUAACCUGGGGAAACCCAGGCUAAUACCGCAUACGUCCUACGGGAGAAAGGGGGCUCCGGCUCCCGCUAUGGGAUGAGCCUAUGUCGGAUUAGCUAGUUGGUGAGGUAACGGCUCACCAAGGCCACGAUCCGUAGCUGGUCUGAGAGGAUGAUCAGCCACAUCGGGACUGAGACACGGCCCGAACUCCUACGGGAGGCAGCAGUGGGGAAUAUUGGACAAUGGGGGAAACCCUGAUCCAGCCAUGCCGCGUGUGUGAAGAAGGCCCUCGGGUUGUAAAGCACUUUCAGCGAGGAAGAACGCCUAGCGGUUAAUACCCGCUAGGAAAGACAUCACUCGCAGAAGAAGCACCGGCUAACUCCGUGCCAGCAGCCGCGGUAAUACGGAGGGUGCAAGCGUUAAUCGGAAUUACUGGGCGUAAAGCGCGCGUAGGUGGCUUGAUAAGCCGGUUGUGAAAGCCCCGGGCUCAACCUGGGAACGGCAUCCGGAACUGUCAAGCUAGAGUGCAGGAGAGGAAGGUAGAAUUCCCGGUGUAGCGGUGAAAUGCGUAGAGAUCGGGAGGAAUACCAGUGGCGAAGGCGGCCUUCUGGACUGACACUGACACUGAGGUGCGAAAGCGUGGGUAGCAAACAGGAUUAGAUACCCUGGUAGUCCACGCCGUAAACGAUGUCGACCAGCCGUUGGGUGCCUAGCGCACUUUGUGGCGAAGUUAACGCGAUAAGUCGACCGCCUGGGGAGUACGGCCGCAAGGUUAAAACUCAAAUGAAUUGACGGGGGCCCGCACAAGCGGUGGAGCAUGUGGUUUAAUUCGAUGCAACGCGAAGAACCUUACCUACUCUUGACAUCCUGCGAAUUUGGUAGAGAUACCUUAGUGCCUUCGGGAACGCA
rnacentral:rRNA from 1 species